GAUGAACGCUGGCGGCGUGCCUAAUACAUGCCAGUCGAGCGAACGGACGAGAAGCUUGCUUCUCUGAUGUUAGCGGCGGACGGGUGAGUAACACGUGGAUAACCUACCUAUAAGACUGGGAUAACUUCGGGAAACCGGAGCUAAUACCGGAUAAUAUUUUGAACCGCAUGGUUCAAAAGUGAAAGACGGUCUUGCUGUCACUUAUAGAUGGAUCCGCGCUGCAUUAGCUAGUUGGUAAGGUAACGGCUUACCAAGGCAACGAUGCAUAGCCGACCUGAGAGGGUGAUCGGCCACACUGGAACUGAGACACGGUCCAGACUCCUACGGGAGGCAGCAGUAGGGAAUCUUCCGCAAUGGGCGAAAGCCUGACGGAGCAACGCCGAGUGAGUGAUGAAGGUCUUCGGAUCGUAAAACUCUGUUAUUAGGGAAGAACAUAUGUGUAAGUAACUGUGCACAUCUUGACGGUACCUAAUCAGAAAGCCACGGCUAACUACGUG
rnacentral:rRNA from 1 species